UACAGAGGUCCCAAGCGUUGUUCGGAUUCAUUGGGCGUACAGGGUGCGUAGGCGGUGCCGCAAGUCAGAUGUGAAAUCUCGGGGCUUAACCCCGAAACUGCAUUUGAUACUGCGGUGCUCGAGGACUGGAGAGGAGACUGGAAUUCACGGUGUAGCAGUGAAAUGCGUAGAUAUCGUGAGGAAGGCCAGUGGCGAAGGCGAGUCUCUGGACAGUUCCUGACGCUGAGGCACGAAGGCCAGGGGAGCAAACGGG
rnacentral:rRNA from 1 species